rnacentral:misc_RNA from 1 species
UCCCCGUUGCCGGGGCAGUCUACCUAGAAAAAUCCAACUAAGUAUAAGGGUUGCGCUCGUUGAAGGACUUAACCUAACAUCUCACGACACGAGCUGAAGACGGCCAUGCAACACCUGUCACUGAGUUCCGGCGCUCAAAAUACAAUUGUUGUUGCGUUCACAUCAUUGUGUGAAUCGCAUCACAUUAUAUCCUCAGCGCCGGCACUCACUGCUUUCGCAGUAAUCCUCAGGAUGUCAAACCCUGGUAAGGUUCUUCGUUUACCAUCGAAUUAAAGAACAUGCUCCACCGCUUGUGCGGGUCCCCGUCAAUUCCUUUAUGUUUUAAGCUUGCGCUCGUACUCCACAGGCGGGAUGCUUAACGCGUUAGCUUCGCUACAGAAGGGGUCGAUACCUCCUACAG